GAUGAACGCUAGCGGCAGGCUUAACACAUGCAAGUCGGAGGGGUAACAGGAGUGCUUGCACUUGCUGACGACCGGCGCACGGGUGCGUAACGCGUAUAGAACCUACCUUUUACAGAGGGAUAGCCUUUAGAAAUGAAGAUUAAUACCUCAUGGUAUUACGUUUUGGCAUCAGAUUGUAAUUAAAGAUUUAUCGGUAAAAGAUGGCUAUGCGUCCUAUUAGCUAGAUGGUAAGGUGACGGCUUACCAUGGCAAUGAUAGGUAGGGGUCCUGAGAGGGAGAUCCCCCACACUGGUACUGAGACACGGACCAG
rnacentral:rRNA from 1 species